rnacentral:tRNA from 2 species
GCCGGGAUGGCGAAAUGGUAUACGCGCUGGACUUAAAAUCCAGUGGGAGCAAUCCCGUGAGGGUUCGAGUCCCUCCCCCGGCACCA